GUCUUCAUGGUGCAUUUGGAAGCAGACUCGACUCAUAUUCGAGAGGUCCAGGGUUCAAGUUCCCGUGAGGGUA
rnacentral:tRNA from 1 species